GUGCAGGAUAAGUUACAAUACAGCUUGUGUAGUACUGUGUUGUCGUUCCCCCUGCAAACAGUAACUGUUUCCUCGCUAUACCUGUCUGUCAUCCUCUUUUGACUGUCAGGGACGUAUGGUUUCAGACAU